CAAAAGAUUCCCAGUACAAAUUAAAACAGAACAGAGAGAACAUAAGUGUCACAUCCAAAUUCACGUCAGCAGCUCUCUCUCUCUCUCAUUCCCCUUAAUUCAAAUUUCAAACCCUGUAUCUCUUUGUUCUUACACAUACAGAGCUCUCUCUCAUUCCCCCUUAUUCCCCCAAACAACUCGAUCCCUGUCAACUCCCCUAAAUCUCUUCUCUCAUACCCAGCCAUAAUUCAAGUCCCAAAUCUCUCAUACCCAAUCCUAAAUCUCAUACCCAGCCCCUAAUGUACGAUCUAGAGUAUAGAGAAAGUACCUAGAAUCAAAUUAGGUUCACGGAGCUUGAAAAACACAAACAAAACACGCAGAGAAACGCGAAGCAGAAGAAGUUGAAUUUGAAUUGCACACUAAGAUUGUUCCACCUCUUUCCUUCUCCUUGUAGGAUUCUUCUUGGACAUUCCUUAAAUGAAUAAGAGCAUUAAAUAUUGCUUGAUCACCAAGAUUUUGACUUUAUUGCAAUAAAUAUUAAAUCCUACAAAAUAAGAUAAAACAUAUUAAUUUAAUAAACUAAUAUAAUUAAAAGGACAAAAUUAGGGAUAAUUAAAUGUAUGAAUUAUGUUUCUAUCACAUAAUAAACACGAACCUCUAAUAAAUCUCAAAAUAUCUCCAAUGAAAUUGAACACUAAUUGUCACAUAUUCCAAUUUAAAUAAAAGGAACUCCACACUUACAUAGACUCUACUAAUAAGAACUAAAUGCCAAAAUGGCCCAAACAUCUACAUACAAAAUAUUAGGAAAGUCAAGUCUAAUGAUAAGUCUCAAAAGCUAAUCUACUCAUUUGGAUCAAAGGUAGCUCUCAUCCCACAAAUCCUGAUCACCCCUGAUUACCUGCCGGAAAAAGAACACAGCGUGAGCCAAUUGCCCAGUACGAAUACGAAGAUGAAUAAAUAUAUCACAAUAAGUAAUGAAUCUAAAAGAGCUGAAUGAAUGAACACAUGUGAAUUACAAACGAAUUACGAAUAGAUCAAAAUUUGUGAGUCCAUUUACAAAUGACUAACACUGUCAAUCGAAUAAUUAUAGCCAAAAGAAUCCCAAACAAAUAAGGCUGAAUCAAAUGGUUAUACGGUAACAAUUUCAUACUGAGCUCAAAUACAAAUAGCCAAAGGCUAACAAAAUACAUCGGUACCAUGAUGUAUACAAAUCAAAUCGGAUAGUACGCACGACACAUACGUCACUAAUCCGCCAAACAAAUCGAAUCAAAUCAAAUACUGGGUCGACCCAUACGUAUCCUGAACAAAUAUAUCAAAUGGCCAAAGCUCAUACCCAGAGCAUACAAAAGGAUACGCCGUGGACUAAUCACACCGCCACGGAAGGUGUCAUGCCCUUGUGUCAAGAGGACAUGCCUGUGGUACCCCCACAGGUGGUUAGCUCAAGUAUACCCUAAGGAUCAAACUACAAAAUGUAAGCCAAAAGGGGUUCAAAUCACAAGGCUUACAUGACCAUAUUCAAAUGAAAUUGAAUUAUCAAAUACAAACAUACCCAAUUAUUACAAGAUAUCAAUGAUCAAAACAACUCCGAGUGUGAACGAAAAUAUACGAACAAUGGUACAAACGAAUAAAGUCUCCAAAACAUAUUUACACGAUUAACUAGUUCAAAGAGUACAAAUACGAAUUCAAAUAUCAACCCCAAAACGAAACUAACUCAAUAAUUUUGACAACAAAGAAUAAUCCCAAGAGGCAAUACCAAAUUCUAAACGAGUACAAAAUGAACGAAUUAAAUUUAAAGGAAUAUCGCUGAAAAAGUACGGAAUCCGUACCUUAAUGUAGUACCAAAAUAAUUCGCCGAAUCCAAAUAUCACCCGCUAAACUCCCUCAAUCCGAU
rnacentral:lncRNA from 1 species